CCAGUGAUAAUGACUGUCUGCAAACCACGUGCAAAAGUUACCGAUGUAAUAGAUUACGAGCAUAUAGAUUACCUGGUGAGGUGGAGGGGCGAGCUCUGAGGGGGGCUCUUGCUUCUGGCACCAAGCAGCCGGCACCCGCUGGCUGCGACCUGCUUUGGGGACAGCAGCAGGUGAGGAGUUUGACUGGGGCGGUACACAUGUCAAAGCGUAAUGCAGGUGUCCUAAGGCGAGCUCGGGAAGGAUGGAAGCCUCUUGCAGAGGCAAAAGCUCACUUGAUCUUGAUUUUCAGUACGAAUAGAGACUGGGAAAGUGGGGCCACACGAUCCUUCUGGCUUUUGGGGUUUUAAGCAGGAGGCGUCAGAAAAGUUACCACAGGGAUAACUGGCUUGUGGUGGCCAAGCAUUCAUAGCAACGUUGCUUUUUGAUCCUUCGAUGUUGGCUCUUCCUAUCAUUGUGAAGCAGUAUUCACCAAGCGUUGGGUUGUUCACCCACUACUAGGGAAAGUGAGCUGGGCUUAGACUGUCGUGAGACAGAUUAGUU
rnacentral:ncRNA from 1 species